GAUGAACGCUGGCGGUAUGCCUUAUACAUGCAAGUCGUACGAGAGUUUUAACUCAAGUGGCGGACGGGUGAGUAACACGUAAGAAUUUACCUUUAGGAGGGGGACAACAAGUGGAAACAGUUGCUAAUACCCCAUAUGCUAUUAAGUAAAAUGAAAUUUUUUUCGCCUAAAGAGAAGCUUGCGGCUGAUUAGCUUGUUGGUAGAGUAAUAGCCUACCAAGGCGACGAUCAGUAUCUGGUUUGAGAGGACGAUCAGACACACUGGAACUGAGACACGGUCCAG
rnacentral:rRNA from 1 species